CAGCGUUCCAUUAAACUCGAUUAUAGCGUUCAACUCAAUUACAGCGUUGCGGAUAAAAAUAAAAUAAAAAUUAUAGCGUUCACUGAGGGAAAGGCGCCAUUCUCCCAAAUAUUUAGAGCCAAAAUCGACUGAAAAUCCCUUCUCUCUCUUCCUCGUUCAAACCCUAACUCUCUCGCUCUCUCUCUCCCUGAACUUAGCUUCUGUAGUUUCCCUGUUCCUCUCUCUCUCUCUCUCUCUCCCUCAACAACUAAUUUCCCUGUUCCCAAAACUUUUUAAGUUUACUUGAAUUCUGAGAGAAAAAUGGCGAUUUAGAAACCCUAACCCCCAAAUCGAUUUCCAUGCACCUCCUUUACAACGGCAAACAUUGGGCCAGCCUUCUCCCUACCGUCCUCUAUCCCCAACCUCUUUCCCUUUACCCGUUCCUAUUUCUUUCCUCUUUCCAGUUGUUUCCAUUCAUCCGCUCGAAGGUAGUCGAUUGCUGAUCUGGGUCGGUGAUCUUGGUCCUCUUUGGGUUCAUCGGUGUUUCGAGCUGUCACCGAUUCACUCCCAGUCAUCGUCUAUGGAUUCUCAGUUGAGACCCCGAUCUUUUCCACACUCCUCAAUCUAUCGCCGGCUGGGUGUCCGUUGGGUCUUUAGAGCUCAUUCUCUCUAGCACUGUCGACCGUUCGCUGGGUUCUCUGCGUCACUCGACCUCCGUCACUAAGGACAAGGAACCUAAUGACAGAAAAAUCAGUAAACUUUGUGAAUAUGCUUUAAGAAACCCUCUCCGGAUUCCUAAGAUCACGAGCUCUCUUGAGCAAAGGUGUUACACAAGGAUUUAAGAAGUGUGUCAUUUGCAUUCUAUAAAAGUUUUCCCGACUCCUAUGUAUCAACAGGAAGUUGUUAAUAUCUUGGAAGGAGCAGAUCAGGGGAUAUUCUGAGCCUCUUUGCCGUCAUUAACUAUUCCUCUAGCUUCGCUUUGGUCAACUAUAGGAUGGAGCAACUCGCAUAUGCUUGUAUUUGGGCCGCUCAUCAUAACAGCUUAUAUGUAAGCAAUGAGCUAUUUUUUUAAGGUAAUUUUGCAUAUGGUUAAGUUGUGUAUAUAUCUUAUUGAUGAUUUCAAGUUAAGAACUAUCUAUCAUCUUGUACAUAUCUAGAUUGGAGGAACAUUACUUGGUGGAUGGUGGAUAGUGGAAGUCCUUGAAAAUUCAUGCAGGUAUGGUCUAAGUGUGUUUUGCUUCAUAUCUCUUUCAAGGUUGAAGUGAGAGUCACAGAAGUUAUAUAGGUUAGAGAUAUCAUUGCAGGAUAAGAUGUAAGGUCAAAGGAAAAAUUAGAUAGGCAACUUUGCCACACUUUUGGUGGUUCGGAAAUCAUAACAAAGACACCACCAAAACCCCAAAUGGCAAAACGAUGGCCAU